rnacentral:rRNA from 1 species
GAUGAACGCUGACAGAAUGCUUAACACAUGCAAGUCUUUGGCGAAGCUGUGCUUGCACAGCCUAGCCAAGGCGGACGGGUGAGUAACGCGUAAGGAACUUGCCCUGCAGUCAGGGAUAACAGACGGAAACGACUGAUAAGACCUGGUAAAGUCAGGCGGACUCAUGUCCAGCCUGAUGAAAAGAGAUGCUGCAGGAGAGCCUUGCGUCCUAUUAGCUUGUUGGUGGGGUAACGGCCCACCAAGGCGAUGAUAGGUAGCCGGCCUGAGAGGGUGGACGGCCACAAGGGGACUGAGAUACGGCCGUGACUCCUACGGGAGGCAGCAGGGGGGAAUAUUGGACAAUGGGGGCAACCCUGAUCCAGCAAUUCUGUGUGCACGAUGAAGGUUUUCGGAUUGUAAAGGGCUUUCAGCAGGGAAGAAAAAAAUGACGGUACCUGCAGAAGAAGCGACGGCUAAAUACGUG